CAGCCGCCGCGGGAAUACGAAGGGUGCAAGCGUUAAUCGGAAUUACUGGGCGUAAAGCGUGCGUAGGCGGUGAGUUAAGUCUGCUGUGAAAUCCCCGGGCUCAACCUCGGAACUGCCUUUGAUACUGGAGAUCUUGAGUUCGGAAGAGGUUGGUGGAACAGCUAGUGUAGAGGUGAAAUUCGUAGAUAUUAGCUAGAACACCAGUGGCGAAGGCGGCCAACUGGUCCGACACUGACGCUGAGGUGCGAAAGCGUGGGGAGCAAACAGGAUUAGAUACCCCAGUAGUCCCUGUCUCUUAUAC
rnacentral:rRNA from 1 species